ensembl:lncRNA novel transcript
GCAUUGGGUGGGAGAGAAAGUUCUAUGUCAACUCUUCUGGCAGAGGGAAAAGCUGACCGAGGAAGUCAAAAUGAAAGAAAGAAGCAGACAGGACUGAGGCUCCCUGAGAUGCAGAAACUGAGGCACAGAGCAAGGAUGUGCCACAGCAGAAGCAAGUUGUGUUGGCAGUAGGAAACAAGAUAAAGAGAAGAACUCAAAGAAUUGAGAGAAGGCUUUGAACAUGAUGAUGGAGAAAUAACACUCUUGGGAGAAAUGAAGAUACUUUCUCCUCCCUGGUUUACCUGAGUUUCCAGCACCCAGUGAUAAGAAAGGAUGGCAUUAGUGAUGUGUACACCUGCAGUGAUAGCUUCACCUUUCUAAAGCAGAUGCCGUGGUAGACAUUUUGCCAGCCCUCCUUUCACUAUACACACAGCUUGGUGUACGCUGGCAGACUUUUGACCUAAUUUCUUAACCCUCAAAUAUUCCAAGACAGAACAAAGCACACAACAAAACCAGAAUGAGGCCGGGCAAAGUGGCUCAUGCCCGUAAUCCCAGCACUUUGGGAGGCUAAGGGGUGGGCAGAUCACUUGAGGUCAGGAGUUUGAGACCAGCCUAGGCAACAUGGUGAAACCCAGUCUCUACUGAAAAUACAAAAAUCAGCCGGGUGUGGUGGCAAAUGCCUGUAAUCCCAGCUACUGGGGAGGCUGAGACACAAGAAUCACUUGAACCCAGGAGGGGGAGUUUGCAGUGAGCCGAGAUUGUGCCACUGCAUGCCAGUCUGAACAACAGAGCAAGACUCUGUCACAAAAACAAACAAAAAACUGAAUGAAUGGAAGCAGAUAAGUGCAGAGAGAAACACUGAUUUACCUUCAGAAAGAUAAAAAAGUAGUAUAUUGAUAUACUUGUAUAUUGCUAUCUACUAGUAUAGCUUCAGUUGGUGUAUGAGUAUAGAACUAUUGGGUUGUUCUUUAUGUGAUUACUCCUUCCCAGUUUUAGUAAAGUAUUCCAAUUUGAGGGAAAUUCUUUCAUUUGUCAAUAAAAUAAAAAGAGGUAAGUUUUAAAAUCUGUAUAGUUCUUCCUUCAUGCUAGUUGCCUCUCUUUUUGAUAUUUCUUCUAUAAAAAUCUUUUCUUACAUUCAGUUUUCAUUGUAUAGAUCAUGAAGGAACCAUAGUGAUUAUCAAAGAUCAGCCGAUAAGUUCAAGGCAGAGUUCCACCUUUCCCCAUGAAGCCCUUCCAGACUUGUUUACAUGUAACACCCUUGAAGUCUAUUAUAGUGGAAAUAUCUCUGCGAUAAGAAGACAUGGAUUCUAGCUCCAUCUCCAGAACUUAGGAGCCAGGAUUCACUUAAAGGAGACACGGGCUGUGCUGGCUUCUCAGAUUUGCAAAAGAUCAAUGUCUCCAAGUACCCAAAACUUACCUGGGGUUUUCAAGAUUAUGCAGCUAGGAAGGAUGUGUUUGCUUCCCUUUCUGCCAUGAUUGUAAGUUUCCUGAGGCCUCGCCAGCCAUGCUGAACUAGAGGCAUCAUCUUUGAUCAUCAUCAGAUUUUACAACUCAUUGUUCCCUUCCAGUCCACAGGGUGAGAGAAUCAUGUAAAUGGUCAAACAAACACUUGGAUUAUAGAAGACACUUGAUAUUAAUAAUGACAAUAAAAAUGUUUACCUAACUUGGAUA